rnacentral:rRNA from 1 species
AGCCGCCGCGGGAACACCGGCGGCCCGAGUGGUGAUCGUGAUUAUUGGGUCUAAAGGGUCCGUAGCCGGUUUGGUCAGUCCUCCGGGAAAUCUGAUAGCUCAACUAUUAGGCUUUCGGGGGAUACUGCCAGACUUGGAACCGGGAGAGGUAAGAGGUACUACAGGGGUAGGAGUGAAAUCUUGUAAUCCCUGUGGGACCACCUGUGGCGAAGGCGUCUUACCAGAACGGGUUCGACGGUGAGGGACGAAAGCUGGGGGCACGAACCGGAUUAGAUACCCGGGUAGUCCCAGCCGUAAACGAUGCUCGCUAGGUGUCAGGCAUGGCGCGACCGUGUCUGGUGCCGCAGGGAAGCCGUGAAGCGAGCCACCUGGGAAGUACGGCCGCAAGGCUGAAACUUAAAGGAAUUGGCGGGGGAGCACAACAAACCGGGUGGAGCCUGCGGUUUAAUUGGACUCAACGCCGGACAACUCACCGGGGGCGACAGCAAUAUGUAGGCCAAGCUGAAGACUUUGCCUGAAUCGCUGAGGGGAGGUGCAUGG